AUUUUUACACAAAGAUUUUACUCGACUCUCACUCUCACAGGAUCACAAUCCAUGCACGAUUAUAUUCGGAUUAUUCCAUUUAAAAAGUAAACUUAUAUUAUUCUAUUUCCUUUUACUUUCGAUAUUUAUUGUUUUUUAAGAGAUGAUUUCAUGACAUCAUAAACUACCAAUACCUUCAAUGUAUGUUUUUCAAUGUAUUCGAUAGAUAUAGAUACUUUAGUUCUUGAUAUAUAUAUUUAUUAUUUUCCUCUAUGAAAAGAUUUUAUUUCACGAAAACAUUUACAAACUUUUCCUAUUAAUUUUCAUGAUCAUUCGAACGUGUAUAUUUUCAAGAAUCCUCGAGAAUUCUCGAGGUCGGUUUUCGAACAGAUCGUCUACAAUACCUUGUAUAUAGAUAUGUAUACGUAUGUAUGCUAGCGCAUUAUGAUCUGUCUUAUCGGAAAAUAAUUGAACAUCGAGAUCAAGAGACAACAUAUAAAACACAUUUUAUCAAUUUCUUCCUCACAGGAACUGCUGAUUACACAUCCUUCACUUUUUCGGAAAAUCAAAUCAAUUUUUCGGCUUUAUUUGGGAGAAAAAGAGACAUUCAUACACUUUACCAAAUGUUAUUUGAUUCUUUGGAAAUAUAGGAAGACACGAAUCUUCAACAAAUCUUCGUGCGAACGAUUAUUUUUUAAACUUUUAUAUGAGAAUCGGUAUUAAAUUGAAAAAUCUUGUUGUGAAAAAAUACCCUAUUCAAAAUAUCCUACAAUGACCAGCAGAAAUAAAGUUUCCCUUAAAUAAACAAAAAUAUUCUUUCGCUGUCAAAAGAACAAAAAAAAAUUAUAUCGAUAUUUUUUUUUUUUGUACUACAAAUCACCAAUAAUUCUGAAAUUAUAGUAAACACGUUUUAAGAAGUAACAGCUUCCUAAAUGAAUUAUUUAAAUGAAUUAUAACUUAAAAUGAUAACAAAUUUUAUAUUCAUUCAUAAAAACAAAACAUUCUCGUUUGGCACGUAGCUUAAAAUUUUUGAUCGAUAAAGUACUACAUGAGAGUAUUGGGAACUCGAUACUCUGUGAACAAAGUUAUAGAAAUAUUAUAAGAAUUUCAUCAAACACUGAAGUGUCUCGUUUAUACGAGAUAAAAAUUAUAUCGUUGAAACAUCUUUUUUCCCUGUUUUGUUUUCCUGUUGUGUUUUGUGUGAUAUCUCCCAAUUAUUCAACGAUAUAUUAAGCAGAAAAGUUUCUUUGCUGUAUUUUUAAUCGGUUAUCUCACAAUUAUUGACAAAUUUAGAAAAAUAACUCUACAAUCCGCCAUGAACCGUCGAAAUAUCAACACGGAUAACGAUUGGAAAUAUCGUAAGAAGAUUUCGAUGACACAGCUUUCUUCGGUACACUGUACGAAUAUGUCUUCCGAGGAAUGGACGACUGAUUCGAGUAUCAGAGUAUCACAGAUUACUAAUGCCACAUUGGCAUUGAACGCCCAUGUCUACUAGCAUUGAAUACGAAUGAGUUAAACACAACAAUACACUCAGAAAAAUGAUUCCUUCUAUGACAUGAUCUGUGCCCGAUACCAAGUGAAUCGAAAAAGCGUAUCCUCUUUGAAAUUCUAGCUCACAGGAGGAGGUUUAAUUAAAACAUUUUGAAUUGUACAUGCUUCUCUUAACUUCACAAAAAUUUUAAUGUGAUAAAAAAUUCGAUUACAAGUAAAUAAGUAAGGCUUCAAAAUUUAAGAAAAGCAUACUAUUAAUUACUUUCAACUAAAUUUUUUCGGUUAAACGAUGCUAUUUUUGAACACUAACUUUGAGAAAGUAAAUGUUGAAUUAAUAUUGAAAUCAGAAUAUCCUCUAAACUAUUCAGUUUUUGGUACAAAUAUGCUUUGAUACUGUUUUAUUAAAAGUAAAUAACUGCAUCGAUUAGUGCAUUAUUAUAAUUAUUAAUAUAAUUAUUAAUAUAGAACUUUACCAUCUUUUCUUUUUUGUUUUCGUAGAAUGUUAUAUAUUAUAGAUACUACAUGUUAUAUAUACUGUGUAUGAUAUACAUAUUGCACACACAUAAGAGAUAUCGUGAAGCAUCGUAGAAAUUAGCAUGAUUCAUAAAAUUUGCGUUUUUAGUCCUGCAAGAUCAAUAAUUUACAUAUUGCUAAUCUUGUUUAAUUAAAGAUUGUCACUCGUCAUAUCGUUGAUAGGAUACUAUGUAUGUGGUGUAUUCGAAUGCAUGUUGUAUCGUUGUCAAGCCUUCUAUUUAUGGACUUCCGACUGGAAUAUGUAUAUUUUUGCUCGCUGAUUGAAGAAUUUAUAACUUACAAAAAGGUAAAGGAGAAAGAAGCAGGAAAAUCUCCUUUUAUGAGAAACUUCGAUAAAAAUGAAGAUGUUUUCUUAUGGCUUCAAGCGAUAUUUUAUUAAAAGAAAUAAAUAUAGCCACUUUUUUCUAAUAACUUAGAUAUAAAUAAUAUUAAUUGGAUUAUAGCAAGUUGGAUUUAAAUAAUAUCUUUAUUAGCUUCUGUCUAAUAAACUUCUCUAAUAAGUUUCAUUUUUGAAUCUGAAUAGAUUAUAGUGAAUCAUGCUAUGAUUUAUCAACUCUAGAAUAUAUUAACUUCGGAAUAACUGAUAAUUAAUCAAAUCCAAGUUAAUGAUCCCUACAAAAAGUCCAAAGAAUAUAGAUUAUUUUUCAUUCACAUUUCAAAGAAAAUUAAAAAAAGGUAACUACAUACGUACCGAUCUAACUAUCUUGCUAGCUUUCAUAAUUAAAAGUAUAAAAACGUCAAAUAGCUUAAAUAGAUAUAACAUUUUUUUUAGAUUGUGUAUUUGUUAUUAAUUUAGCUGAAAUAUAUUGUUUACAUAGAUAGGCAUACAUAGAAAUUCAUUUUUCAACCAAAAAUUCUCACAAUCAGUCGUUCACAUUUACUUCUCUUCGAGAGAAUUCAUUGCGAUAGAAAUGUAUCAGAAGAUCGCGUAAUACCUUUCCUACGAGCAAAAUAAAACGUUCACGGAAUCGUACGAGACAUUCUUCUAGAUUUUAGAUUCUAGAUUCUAGACGACCACGUUUCUUCCACAGUUCUAGUAAAUUGUAGCAAGUUUACAGAGAUUAGUUUGUCAAGUGUCUGCCGGUAUCAUUGUCGAGAGUUCGUGAAAACCGGUAAAGACUUUCUAAUUUUCUCGUUGAUUCUUCAGGUUUUACGCCACGUUAUCGUUGCGCGUAUAUGUAUAACAUUGCGAGUAGCAAAUAAGUACAAGUUUCUUGGCAAAGUUCUGUAACGAUACAUUAGAUAUGCAAAAUUGUAGACGGAUAAAAGUAAGAAAUAUAAGGAAAAUUUAAAAAAUGAGCAACUAAAUAAUGCAAUUAUUGACUUGUCCCACAAUAUUGUAUUCGGUGAAAUAUUAAGCAACUUUUAAAUCUUAACAAUAAACAAAUAAGAUUUCAUUACAUUUUUUUAAGCAUAUUAUUUUUUUUAUCUAAUUGUUUGAAGAGAAAUAACGGUAAGCAUAUUUUAUUUCAAUACGUUAUUUCUUAGAGUCAUUUUCUUUCAAUUUCAGUUAAAUGAUAUUAGAAGUAAAUAUUACUUAAAAGGCUAUUUAUAAUUAUUUAUUAAAAUGAUCAUAUUUGCUCAAUUCCUUACCCGUGAACAAUACAUGUAUAUUUUUCUCAUUUAUAACAGCUUCUAAUGAGUAAUAAUAAAAAUGUUAUUUGAACAACAGGCUACUUUCUGGUAUACGAGUGUGAUAUCAAUAAUUCUUUAAUAUGUUGUCGGAGUAACACAGUUCGCUGUAACACAGUAUGAGAAUUCCUACAACACAGUUUUGCUGUAACAUGGGUAGAGAACAGGGGAAAUCCCAAUACAAAACAGCACGUAAUGAGAAUUUUUAAGUGCAUUCGAUGCUUUUCACUCGAGGAAGCGUGUGCGUUGUCUGCGAUUUGCUUACGAAAGUUUGAAAUAUUGAAAUUUUCGAUUUAUUAUUAAUUCAUAGAAUAUCAAUCCUUCGCUCUCAAAAGCUUUUUCGCUAAAGGGAAACAGCAACUCGAAAAUUUCCUGACAAAAAGUCGAUGAUAUUUUUACGGCUAACAGAUCAUCGUGAUGAAAUCAUACUUGAAUUAACAAAGCUCGAAAGAUGAGGAUGUUUAGAUGAAACCAGAAAAGAAACGCCUCCGCUUAGUGGUGUUUAGCAGUGACGAAGAAGAAAACAUUAUGUAAUAUUAAUAUGUUAUACUUUUCAUUAAUUAUUGGUUGUCCUAAUACACAUAUGUCUCUUAUUUGUGAAAAGAAAAUGGAAAAAAACGACUAUAACACCAUAAUGUUUGCAUAGAAGCACGUACGAUAUUUAUAAUUUAAAUUCUAUAUACACUUAUUGUAAACAUAAAAGUAGUACUUAGGUAGAAUCUUAAAUAAAUUUUCUUAUAAAACCUUUAAGAAACAUAAUAUAUACUGUACUUAUAAUAUACGCAAAAUAUGUCUAAAAAUAAUUCCCAGCACCUAAGUUAAUUCCAAGUUUUUAACAAUAUCCCUAUUUCUGUCGAGAAAAGGUAGAAUCUGGUCUAUGUCUUCCAUUAUGAAUACCCACGCAACGCUACUCUACGCAAUACCAAUGCCAAUAUUUAUCGACACGCAGAGACAUAUUCCAAACACGCAAUAACGUGUUUUCCAAUAUGAUAUACAUCAUAAAUAAAAUCCAAGAAAACAUAAAAAAUGUAAAAAGCUUAAGCUAAAAACAAGGAAUGAGAUAGUUAACACGCAGAUGAGUACAAGUCAGCAUCUAAUAGCAGACAAAAGUUUGUGAUCAAACAGAUUUUUCACUUUAUAUGUUAAAAGCCAUAUUUUAAAGAAUUUCAACUAGUGUUAUAUAACUAUAUUACAAAAGCGCUUACAUAUUUCUUUUAACGUUUUCUUUUCGUUGCCAUGCCCUUAUACGCAAUAUUAGUUAAUAUUCUUCCAAAUAUCGCGAUUAUAUUUGAAAUAUAAUAUAAUAUUGAAAUAUAAUAUUGAAAUAUAAAGUAAAAAAUAUAUAAUAUCCAGCUGGAAACUUGUGUACACCGGUGCAGAAAAACUCAAAAGAAUUCAUACAAAAAUACCGACAACUACCGACAAGCGAUAAUCAUGAGAGAAACCGGUGUUUUCCGUGAAUCACCAAUCACUGGGUGCCUUCUUUUCUUUCCAUGGGCGUAACUCUUUCUUUUUUUCUUCUUUUUAACCAACAUACAUAUACAGACGAGACAAACGAGACAGACUCAUUCGAUCCGUGCCAAGAAUAGUGAUACCGUAGAGUAGAUUGCCGAACAAAAUACACGUAUAUAACAAGCACAAUAAACGAACGCAAGAUAGGACGAGGUAGGCGCCAACGAUCACGAUCAACGUGCUUAUUUCACCAAUGGAAUUUCUGCUGCGAAACGCGCGCCACAAAGAGAGUUCCUGAAGACAUGCCAAGGCUUUGUAGAACAGUUCGAACCAUGUUGUAAUAUCAAGAGUACUGUAAUGUUAUGAUAGUAUAAGUACCAAACUUCUCGAUUGUGUUCGAUUUCCUAGGAUCCAAUGGUUACGUUAGAUCGGUGUAGCUUUUUUUAUGUUGAAUUUUACUAGAACCAGAUUUGAUUUUGUUUACAUUUAUAUAUACUUAGAAAUAUGCGAAUGAAUUGUCUACCAAAUAUAUCAAAAAGUAUAUCAAAAUAUAA